rnacentral:lncRNA from 1 species
UGGGAAACCAGGGUGCUUCGCCAAUUCAAGGAUCACAUCCUUCGAGCCCUGUGUCUACCCACCCUGAGAUUCCAACUCAGGAUCCAACAAAGGACUCACCACUUUCAAGUGGUCGGCAACUUGUUUCUUAUGACUCAGAUUCAUCUGACGAGGAAACCGAGGACGAAGGCUUACGAACCUUCAUUGCACCUUCUGUGACCUCUCU